UUCGCAAUGCCCGAAAGGGUGAGGAAGCGACGCCGCGUGAGCGAAGAAGGCCCUAGGGUUGUAAAGCUCUGUCGGGGGUUAUGAAAUGUAGAUCGGUUAAUACCCGGUUUAUUUGUCAAAGGCCCCAAAGGAAGCCACGGCUAACUCUGUGCCAGCAGCCGCGGUAAUACAGAGGUGGCAAGCGUUGUUCGGUAUUAUUGGGCGUAAAGAGCACGUAGGUGGGUUUGUAAGUCAGAUGUGAAAGCCUUCUGUCCAAAGGAAGAACGGCAUCUGAAACUGCAGAUCUUGAGUGUAGGAGGGGAGAGUGGAACUUCUGGUGGAGCGGUGAAAUGCGUAGAUAUCAGAAGGAACGUCGGCGGCGAAAGCGACUCUCUGGCCUAUUACUGACACUGAGUGUGCGAAAGCUAGGGGAGCAAACGGGAUUAGAUACCCCGGUAGUCCUAACUGUAAACGAUGGGCACUAAGUAGAGGGGUUUU
rnacentral:rRNA from 1 species